rnacentral:rRNA from 1 species
GAUGAACGCUAGCGACAGGCCUAACACAUGCAAGUCGAGGGGCAGCACUUCGGGUGGCGACCGGCGCACGGGUGAGUAACGCGUAUGUAACCUGCCCUCAGGUGGGGGAUAGCCCAUCGAAAGAUGGAUUAAUACCGCAUGACGUCGAAUGACAGCAUUAGAUUUCGACCAAAAGAUUCAUUGCCUGGGGAUGGACAUGCGUCCUAUUAGCUAGUUGGCGGGGCAACGGCCCACCAAGGCGACGAUAGGUAGGGGUUCUGAGAGGAAGGUCCCCCACAUUGGGACUGAGACACGGCCCAAACUCCUACGGGAGGCAGCAGUGGGGGAUAUUGCACAAUGGAGGAAACUCUGAUGCAGCGACGCCGCGUGAGUGAAGAAGUAUUUCGGUAUGUAAAGCUCUAUCAGCAGGGAAGAAAGGCUCGCAAGAGAGAUGACGGUACCUGACUAAGAAGCUCCGGCUAAAUACGUGCCAGCAGCCGCGGUAAUACGUAUGGAGCAAGCGUUAUCCGGAUUUACUGGGUGUAAAGGGAGCGCAGACGGUCAAGCAAGUCUGAAGUGAAACCCCACGGCUCAACCGUGGGCUUGCUUUGGAAACUGUUUAACUAGAGUACUGGAGAGGUAAGCGGAAUUCCUAGUGUAGCGGUGAAAUGCGUAGAUAUUAGGAGGAACACCGGUGGCGAAGGCGGCUUACUGGACAGCAACUGACGUUGAGGCUCGAAGGCGUGGGGAGCAAACAGGAUUAGAUACCCUGGUAGUCCACGCGGUAAACGAUGAAUACUAGGUGUUGGGAGACAUAGUCUUUCGGUGCCGUCGCUAACGCAAUAAGUAUUCCACCUGGGGAGUACGUUCGCAAGAAUGAAACUCAAAGGAAUUGACGGGGACCCGCACAAGCGGUGGAGCAUGUGGUUUAAUUCGAAGCAACGCGAAGAACCUUACCAGAUCUUGAAUCCAGAUGAAGUACCGGGUAAUGCCGGUAGGCCUUCGGGACAUUUGAGACAGGUGGUGCAUGGUUGUCGUCAGCUCGUGUCGUGAGAUGUUGGGUUAAGUCCCGCAACGAGCGCAACCCUUGUCCAUAGUAGCCAGCAGUAAGAUGGGAACUCUAUGGAGACUGCCAGGGAUAACCUGGAGGAAGGUGGGGAUGACGUCAAAUCAUCAUGCCCCUUAUGAUCUGGGCCACACACGUGCUACAAUGUCGUAAACAAAGGGACGCGAACCUGCGAGGGGAAGCAAAUCUCAAAAAUAACGACCCAGUUCGGACUGUAGGCUGCAACCCGCCUGCACGAAGCUGGAAUCGCUAGUAAUCGCAGAUCAGAAUGCUGCGGUGAAUACGUUCCCGGGUCU